rnacentral:misc_RNA from 1 species
UCCUAUCAGCACUGGAUGCAACAGCAACCUUCAAACCUGCAUUUUUGCACUCUGUUACGAGAUCUAGAGCCCCAGGGAAUCCAAUGCCAGCAUUUGGCUUUGCAUACUUGUCAAGAUAUAUCUCAAAAAAACGUUUCUUGGCACUUUCAGCGUUGAAAUCUUUCACUCCCUUCAACUUCGCUACACCUCCAAGGAAAUUAGCCUCACCUGUGCCCAUGUAAGGAACAAAGUCGUCCCCGG